rnacentral:misc_RNA from 2 species
AAUAAUUUAGAUGGCCUUUGCUAGUUUUCUAGCGAAUGGUUCAUUCUUUUUUACUGUGAACUGUUUUAAUUUUUCAGCGUCUGAGGAAUGUCUUUUAGCCAUAGGGAUAGGCUACUAGAAUGUUAACCGAGCUGAAAGUCAGGCUUAGGCCUGGUAUCCUAUUAAUUAUUUACCAAAAGAAUUCAGUAUUAUAAUUGUAACAUAAGCGUAAAAAACUUAUAAAA